GGCAGCGAGUAGAUUGCUUGCAAUCUACGUCGGCGACCGGCGCACGGGUGCGUAACGCGUAUGCAACCUACCCAUUACAGGGGGAUAACACUGAGAAAUCGGUACUAAUACCCCAUAACAUCCAGGGAGGCAUCUUCUUGGGUUGAAAACUCCGGUGGUAAUGGAUGGGCAUGCGUUGUAUUAGUUAGUUGGUGGGGUAACGGCUCACCAAGACGACGAUACAUAGGGGGACUGAGAGGUUAACCCCCCACAUUGGUACUGAGACACGGACCAAACUCCUACGGGAGGCAGCAGUGAGGAAUAUUGGUCAAUGGACGCAAGUCUGAACCAGCCAUGCCGCGUGCAGGAAGACGGCUCUAUGAGUUGUAAACUGCUUUUGUACGAGGGUAAACGCAGAUACGUGUAUCUGUCUGAAAGUAUCGUACGAAUAAGGAUCGGCUAACUCCGUGCCAGCAGCCGCGGUAAUACGGAGGAUUCAAGCGUUAUCCGGAUUUAUUGGGUUUAAAGGGUGCGUAGGCGGUCGGAUAAGUUAGAGGUGAAAUCCCGGGGCUCAACUUCGGAAUUGCCUCUGAUACUGUUCGGCUAGAGAGUAGUUGCGGUAGGCGGAAUGUAUGGUGUAGCGGUGAAAUGCUUAGAGAUCAUACAGAACACCGAUUGCGAAGGCAGCUUACCAAGCUACUUCUGACGUUGAGGCACGAAAGCGUGGGGAGCAAACAGGAUUAGAUACCCUGGUAGUCCACGCAGUAAACGAUGAAUGCUACCUGUCCGGAGCUUCGGUUCUGGGUGGGACAGCGAAAGCGUUAAGCAUUC
rnacentral:rRNA from 1 species